GGGCCCGCACAAGCGGUGGAGUAUGUGGUUUAAUUCGAUGCAACGCGAAGAACCUUACCAGGGUUUGACAUCCUGCGAAUCUUUUGGAAACGAGAGAGUGCCUUCGGGAACGCAGUGACAGGUGGUGCAUGGCUGUCGUCAGCUCGUGUCGUGAGAUGUUGGGUUAAGUCCCGCAACGAGCGCAACCCACGUCGUUAGUUGCCAGCAUUCAGUUGGGCACUCUAGCGAGACCGCCGGUGAUAAACCGGAGGAAGGUGUGGACGACGUCAAGUCAUCAUGCCCCCUUCACGAUCCUGGCUACACACGUACUACAAUGCUACGGACAAAGGGCAGCAAACUCGCGAGAGCUAGCAAA
rnacentral:rRNA from 1 species